rnacentral:rRNA from 1 species
GAUGAACGCUGGCGGCGUGCCUAAUACAUGCAAGUCGAGCGAACAGACGAGGUGCUUGCUCCUCUGACGUUAGCAGCGGACGGGUGAGUAACACGUGGACAACCUACCUAUAGGACUGGGAUAACUUCGGGAAACCGGAGCUAAUACCGGAUAAUAUAUUGAACCGCAUGGUUCAAUAGUGAAAGACGGUUUUGCUGUCACUUAUAGAUGGAUCCGCGCCGCAUUAGCUAGUUGGUAAGGUAACGGCUUACCAAGGCAACGAUGCGUAGCCGACCUGAGAGGAUGAUCGGCCACACUGGAACUGAGACACGGUCCAGACUCCUACGGGAGGCAGCAGUAGGGAAUCUUCCGCAAUGGGCGAAAGCCUGACGGAGCAACGCCGCGUGAGGGAUGAAGGUCUUCGGGUCGUAAACCGCUGUUAUUAGGAAAGAACAAAUGUGUAAGUAACCAUGCACGUCUUGACGGUACCGAAUCAGAAAGCACCGGCUAACUACGUG